AUGGCUCAGAACGAACGCUGGCGGCAGGCUUAACACAUGCAAGUCGAGCGCCCCGCAAGGGGAGCGGCAGACGGGUGAGUAACGCGUGGGAACGUACCUUUUGCUACGGAAUAACUCAGGGAAACUUGUGCUAAUACCGUAUGUGCCCUUCGGGGGAAAGAUUUAUCGGCAAAGGAUCGGCCCGCGUUGGAUUAGCUAGUUGGUGAGGUAAAGGCUCACCAAGGCGACGAUCCAUAGCUGGUCUGAGAGGAUGAUCAGCCACACUGGGACUGAGACACGGCCCAGACUCCUACGGGAGGCAGCAGUGGGGAAUAUUGGACAAUGGGCGCAAGCCUGAUCCAGCCAUGCCGCGUGAGUGAUGAAGGCCCUAGGGUUGUAAAGCUCUUUCACCGGUGAAGAUAAUGACGGUAACCG
rnacentral:rRNA from 1 species